GGACCAAGGAACAAACGGAGGCGUUCAUUAGUCUCCGUGUAGAAAACAAGCAGCUGUUUACCGGGGGGAGAACGGCUAUCGGCUUAUUUUGGAGAAGAUGGGGCUCGAAGGGAGGGUUUCCCACGCCCAGGCAAAAAAAAAAGUGGGACAAUUUAAAAACCAAGUACAAGGAAUGUAAGUGUCCUGCCACAGGUCAAGGGACAGAGGAUGGCAAGGCGACCGCAGCAAAUUGGCCCUGGUUUGCCCUCAUGGACGAGGCAUUAGGGCAGUCUGCAGCAGUCUCGCCCCCUUGCCUUAUUGCCUCGAUCCAAGAGGAAAAACCAGGGCCAAGCACUGCACAAGAGGCAGAUGAAGGGAGAGGCGAGGAUGAGGAGGAGGAGGAGACAGGAGCAAAGAGAGAGCAGGGCACAGAGGAGAGAAGAGGAGAAGGGAGCGAGAGGAUCCAAUCCGCAGAUGAGAGAAGGGAAGCAGAGGCCAGAGAGAGGGCAAACCGCUUUUUUUUUUUUUUGCUGUUGGAGAGGUUGGCGGAAAAAUAAAGUCAAUUAAAUUGAACUGGUUUUGUCUUUGCCCCUUAAUUAUUUAAUAUAAACUGUAUAUCCAUUUUUUUAAAAACCUUGUUCUUUAGACCACAAUAGAAAAACAAAACAAUGUAUUGAACAAUAUCUUCACCCUUAUUUACAACGUUUUGUGAUUCGGUAUUCCAAGCUCUACAAAAAGCAUUAAUUUCAUCUUUGUUACAUAAAAAAAAAAUUAUUUAAACAUUUCUAUAUUGACAAAUAUAUACAUGAAUCAGCAAAUUCAUUUAAACAACAUUCUCAUAUCUACAACUAUAUACAACAAGACGAGAAGAACACAAGUGCUG